GUCUACGGCCAUGCCACCCUGAACGAGCCCAAUCUCGCCUGAUCUCGGAAGCUAAGCAGGGUUGGGCCUGGUUAGUACUGGAUGGGAGACCACCUAGGAAGACCAGGUGCUGUAGGCA
rnacentral:rRNA from 1 species